rnacentral:rRNA from 1 species
GAUGAACGCUAGCUACAGGCUUAACACAUGCAAGUCGAGGGGCAGCAUUUUAGUUUGCUUGCAAACUAAAGAUGGCGACCGGCGCACGGGUGAGUAACACGUAUCCAACCUGCCGAUAACUCGGGGAUAGCCUUUCGAAAGAAAGAUUAAUAUCCGAUGGUAUAUUAAAACCGCAUGGUUUUACUAUUAAAGAAUUUCGGUUAUCGAUGGGGAUGCGUUCCAUUAGUUUGUUGGCGGGGUAACGGCCCACCAAGACUACGAUGGAUAGGGGUUCUGAGAGGAAGGUCCCCCACAUUGGAACUGAGACACGGUCCAAACUCCUACGGGAGGCAGCAGUGAGGAAUAUUGGUCAAUGGACGAGAGUCUGAACCAGCCAAGUAGCGUGAAGGAUGACUGCCCUAUGGGUUGUAAACUUCUUUUAUAUGGGAAUAAAGUAUUCCACGUGUGGGAUUUUGUAUGUACCAUAUGAAUAAGGAUCGGCUAACUCCGUGCCAGCAGCCGCGGUAAUACGGAGGAUCCGAGCGUUAUCCGGAUUUAUUGGGUUUAAAGGGAGCGUAGGUGGAUUGUUAAGUCAGUUGUGAAAGUUUGCGGCUCAACCGUAAAAUUGCAGUUGAAACUGGCAGUCUUGAGUACAGUAGAGGUGGGCGGAAUUCGUGGUGUAGCGGUGAAAUGCUUAGAUAUCACGAAGAACUCCGAUUGCGAAGGCAGCUCACUAGACUGCAACUGACACUGAUGCUCGAAAGUGUGGGUAUCAAACAGGAUUAGAUACCCUGGUAGUCCACACAGUAAACGAUGAAUACUCGCUGUUUGCGAUAUACAGUAAGCGGCCAAGCGAAAGCAUUAAGUAUUCCACCUGGGGAGUACGCCGGCAACGGUGAAACUCAAAGGAAUUGACGGGGGCCCGCACAAGCGGAGGAACAUGUGGUUUAAUUCGAUGAUACGCGAGGAACCUUACCCGGGCUUAAAUUGCAUUUGAAUAAUCUGGAAACAGGUUGGCCGCAAGGCAAAUGUGAAGGUGCUGCAUGGUUGUCGUCAGCUCGUGCCGUGAGGUGUCGGCUUAAGUGCCAUAACGAGCGCAACCCUUAUCUUUAGUUACUAACAGGUCAUGCUGAGGACUCUAGAGAGACUGCCGUCGUAAGAUGUGAGGAAGGUGGGGAUGACGUCAAAUCAGCACGGCCCUUACGUCCGGGGCUACACACGUGUUACAAUGGGGGGUACAGAAGGCAGCUACCUGGCGACAGGAUGCUAAUCCCAAAAACCUCUCUCAGUUCGGAUCGAAGUCUGCAACCCGACUUCGUGAAGCUGGAUUCGCUAGUAAUCGCGCAUCAGCCAUGGCGCGGUGAAUACGUUCCCGGGCCU